rnacentral:rRNA from 1 species
AUUGAACGCUGGCGGCAUGCCUUACACAUGCAAGUCGAACGGCAGCACGGGGGCAACCCUGGUGGCGAGUGGCGAACGGGUGAGUAAUGCAUCGGAACGUGCCCUGAAGUGGGGGAUAACGUAGCGAAAGUUACGCUAAUACCGCAUAUUCUGUGAGCAGGAAAGAGGGGGAUCGCAAGACCUCUUGCUUUGGGAGCGGCCGAUGUCGGAUUAGCUAGUUGGUGGGGUAAAGGCCUACCAAGGCGACGAUCCGUAGCGGGUCUGAGAGGAUGAGCCGCCACACUGGGACUGAGACACGGCCCAGACUCCUACGGGAGGCAGCAGUGGGGAAUUUUGGACAAUGGGCGCAAGCCUGAUCCAGCCAUGCCGCGUGAGUGAAGAAGGCCUUCGGGUUGUAAAGCUCUUUCGGUGGGGAAGAAAUCGCAUCUCCUAAUAUGGGGUGUGGAUGACGGUACCCGCAUAAGAAGCACCGGCUAACUACGUGCCAGCAGCCGCGGUAAAAC